rnacentral:rRNA from 1 species
AUUGAACGCUGGCGGCAGGCCUAACACAUGCAAGUCGAACGAGUGGCGGACGGGUGAGUAAUGUCUGGGAAACUGCCCGAUGGAGGGGGAUAACUACUGGAAACGGUAGCUAAUACCGCAUACCAUCGGAUGUGCCCAGAUGGGAUUAGCUAGUAGGUGGGGUAAUGGCUCACCUAGGCGACGAUCCCUAGCUGGUCUGAGAGGAUGACCAUGCACACUGGAUCAGAGACACGGGCCAGACUCCUACGGGGGGCAGCAGUGGGGAAUAUUGCACAAGGGGCGCAAGCAUGAGGCAGCCAUGCAGCGUGGAUGAAGAAGGCCUUCGGGUUGUAAAGGAGUUUCAGCGAGGAGGAGUUACUCGCAGAAGAAGCAACAGCUAACUCCGUGCCAGCAGCCGCGGUAAUUC